rnacentral:rRNA from 1 species
ACGCUGGCGGCGUGCCUAAUACAUGCAAGUCGAACGGUCUUUUCUAUGGAAGCUUGCUUCCACUGAGAAGAUAGUGGCGAACGGGUGAGUAACACGUGGGUAACCUGCCCAUAAGAGGGGGAUAACAUCCGGAAACGGGUGCUAAUACCGCAUAGUUUUCUUGAUCGCAUGAUUGAGAAAGGAAAGACGGCCUUUGUGCUGUCGCUUAUGGAUGGACCCGCGGCGUAUUAGUUAGUUGGUGAGGUAAUGGCUCACCAAGACGAUGAUACGUAGCCGACCUGAGAGGGUGAUCGGCCACAUUGGGACUGAGACACGGCCCAAACUCCUACGGGAGGCAGCAGUAGGGAAUCUUCCGCAAUGGACGAAAGUCUGACGGAGCAACGCCGCGUGAGUGAAGAAAAGGUUUUCGGAUCGUAAAACUCUGUUGUCAGAGAAGAACAAGUUGGAGAGUAACUGCUCCAGCCUUGACGGUAUCUGACCAGAAAGCCACGGCUAACUACGUGCCAGCCGCCGC